CCUAGACAUGUGCCUAGCACCUCCCAACGCCCCCAGCAAGGUGUUGCCAGUGCCACCAGCUGCCCCUACCCAUUACAUCCUCUUUGCAACGGUGCAGCUCAGCCUCCCCAGCUCAGUGCCAGCAGUGCCCAAGGGUGGGUGCGUAGGCAGGACUCUGCCGAGGUGACAGUCAGAUCGGUGGCUGAGCACUGAGGGUGCCCAUCGUGCCAUCGCGUGGCGAGUGCAGGGCAGGCUCUGCAGCUCCAUCAAGAGCUCAGCUUAGGAAGAG